GAAAUGCGAUAAGUAGUGUGAAUUGCAGAAUUCAGUGAAUCAUCGAAUCUUUGAACGCACAUUGCGCCCUUUGGUAUUCCUUAGGGCAUGCCUGUUCGAGCGUCAUCUAAACCUUCAAGCCCUGCUUGGUGUUGGGUGCCUGUCCCGCCUCCGCGCGCGGACUCACCUCAAAUCCAUUGGCGGCCCCCGCGUCGGCCACGAGCGCAGCAGAAACGCGAACUCGUGAGCCCGUCCGGGCGGCUCCCAGAAGCUACACCCACCCAGUUUGACCUCGGAUCAGGUAGAGAUACCCGCUGAACAUAAGC
rnacentral:misc_RNA from 1 species